rnacentral:rRNA from 1 species
CCUACGGGCGGCAGCAGUGGGGGAUAUUGCACAAUGGGGGAAACCCUGAUGCAGCGACGCCGCGUGGGCGAAGAAGUAUUUCGGUAUGUAAAGCCCUGUCAGCAGGGAAGAAGGACUGACGUUACCUUCGUCAGCAGCACCGGCUAACUACGUGCCAGCAGCCGCGGUAAUACGGAUGGUGCAAGCGUUAUCCGGAUUUACUGGGGGUAAAGGGAGCGCAGGCGGCACGGCAAGCCUGAUGUGAAAGCCCGCGGCCCAACCGCGGGACUGCAUUGGGAACUACCGGGCUGGAGUGUGGGAGAGGUAGGCGGAAUUCCAAGUGUAGCGGUGAAAUGCGUAGAUAUUAGGAGGAACACCAGUGGCGAAGGCGGCCUACUGGACGGUGACUGACGCUGAGGCUCGAAAGCGUGGGGAGCAAACAGGAUUAGAUACCCCGGUAGUC